GCAAACAUUCAAACAAUACUUUUAAAACAAUUACAUGAAAUGUUUUCUCAUUACAGAAACCAUUAUUGAGAGUCUUAAUAAAAUUUUGGUCAACUGAUGAAGAAACUGUUCAAGUUGUUUCAUUUUUAUAUACAUUACGUAUUGCAACCAUUCAUAAGAUAUCUUUGCUUGAAAUAUUAUUAAAGUCGAUUUUCUACGUCAAGUACGUAGAAAAUUCCAAAUAUGUAUCGCCGAAUACUUCGCCAGAAAUAAAUUUUAUGAGGCAUUCUUUAACAGAGAUUUAUUUUGACUUUGCAUACAGUCAUGCCUUUUUAUAUAUCAGACAGCUUGCUAUUCAUUUAAGGAAUGCAGUAACUUUGAAGAAAAAGUAUAUAAUUGAAGGCAUGUAAAUUUAUUAUUCUUCUGAUCCAAGUCAACAACACUCUAAAAAAAACAAUUAAUUUUACACUCUUUGUUAUACCCUUUAGUACAGGUAUGUUGGCGAUCAUAUUAAUUGCAUAUCAAUUAUUUAGUUAAGUAGAUGGUAAUUAUUAAUUGCGUAUUACCAGAUUAUUAUUGGAAGAAUUAAAGUAAUACCGAGUCAACAAAUUAUGUUUCCACUAUUUGCAAUCGUUAUUUAACAUUUUUAAGGAAACAAAUACUUUCACAUUUAUUUUACCAUUUCUAUUUGGGGUAUAGUAGUUAAUUAAUACGUAUAAAAAAGUAUCUACGUUUUUAAAAAAGCAUAAAGCUGUACCAAUGAAACCAAUAUCUUUAAUUUGUAUAUUAAAAAUAUUUAAAUAUAGUAUAAUUGAUGGUCUCUACCGAUUAAUAUUAGAAAUAGUAGCAAAGGAUGGCCAUUUAAUGUUUCCCCGAUUUUUAUGUUCCUUGUAUAAUAU